GAAGCCACAGUUCAGUAGCAGAGCAUCUGCUUUGCAUGCAGAAGGUCCCAGGUUCAAUCCCCAGUGUCUCUCG